rnacentral:rRNA from 1 species
GAACAUUGCGCAAUGGGGGGAACCCUGACGCAGCAACUCCGCGUGAGGGAAGAAGGCNNNCGGGUNGUAAAACUCUGCCAUCGNGGANAAAAAAAAAGACGUUACCCAGUGACGAAGCUCCGGCUAACUAGGUUCCAGUAGCCGCGGUAAUACGUGGGGGGUAAACGUUGUCCGGAAUUACUGGGCGUAAAGGGUGCGUAGGCGGCCUAAAAAGUCUGAUGUGAAAUACCGAGGCUCAACCUCGGAGGUGCAUUUGAAACUGUUGGGCUUGAGUGCAGGAGAGGAAAGUGGAAUUCCUAGUGUAGCGGUGAAAUGCGUAGAGAUUAGGAGGAACACCAGUGGCGAAGGCGACUUUCUGGACUGUAACUGACGCUGAGGCACGAAAGCGUGGGGAGCAAAC